AGCGAACGCUGGCGGCAGGCUUAACACAUGCAAGUCGAACGCCCCGCAAGGGGAGUGGCAGACGGGUGAGUAACACGUGGGAACGUACCCUUUGGUUCGGAAUAACUUGGGGAAACUCAAGCUAAUACCGGAUAAGCCCUUAUGGGGAAAGGUUUACUGCCGAAGGAUCGGCCCGCGUCUGAUUAGCUAGUUGGUGAGGUAAUGGCUCACCAAGGCGACGAUCAGUAGCUGGUCUGAGAGGAUGAUUAGCCACACUGGGACUGAGACACGGCCCAGACUCCCACGGGAGGCAGCAGUGGGGAAUAUUGGACAAUGGGGGCAACCCUGAUCCAGCCAUGCCGCGUGAGUGAUGAAGGCCUUAGGGUUGUAAAGCUCUUUUACCCGGGACGAUAAUGACUGUACCGGGAGAAUAAGCCCCGGCUAACUUCGUGCCAGCAGCCGCAGUAA
rnacentral:rRNA from 1 species